GAGGAAGGUGGGGAUGACGUCAAAUCAUCAUGCCCCUUAUGCUUAGGGCUACACACGUGCUACAAUGGGUAGUACAGAGGGUUGCCAAGCCGUAAGGUGGAGCUAAUCCCUUAAAGCUACUCUCAGUGCGGAUUGUAGGCUGAAACUCGCCUACAUGAAGCUGGAGUUACUAGUAAUCGCAGAUCAGAAUGCUGCGGUGAAUGCGUUCCCGGGUCUUGUACACACCGCCCGUCACACCACGGGAGUUGGAGACACCCGAAGCCGAUUAUCUAACCUUUUGGAAGAAGUCGUCGAAGGUGGAAUCAAUAACUGGGGUGAAGUCGUAACAAGGUAGCCGUAUCGGAAGGUGCGGCUGGAUCACCUCCUUUCUAAGGAGA
rnacentral:rRNA from 1 species